rnacentral:rRNA from 1 species
AUUGAACGCUGGCGGCAGGCUUAACACAUGCAAGUCGAACGAGUGGCGGACGGGUGGGUAAGGCUUGGGAAUCGUGCUGAUGGAUAGGGAUAGCUAAGGGGAACUGUUGCUGCUACCGCGUUCAUUAGGCUGGGCCCGAGUGGGAUUAGGUAGUUGGUGGGGUAAAGGCACACCAAGCCGACGAUCUCUAGCUGGUCUGAGAGGAUGACCAGCCACACUGGAACUGAGACACGGUCCAGACUCCUACGGGAGGCAGCAGUGGGGAAUAUUGCGCAAUGGGCGAAACCUGAUGCAGCCAUGCCGCGUGAAUGAAGAAGGCCUUCGGGUUGUAAAGUUCUUUAGGUAGCGAGGCGUUACCUACAGAAGAAGCACCGGCUAACUACGUGCCAGCAGCCGCGGUAAUUC